AUGGGUUGCUGCUCUGUGUGUCACUUGGAGUUCACCUUUUUAUUCGCCUGGUAUCUAGAUACCUUUCACAUGCAUGAGAUUUUUAAGAAGACUCACCCUGUCUAUAGUACUCUCUGUCCCCCUUCUUAUGAGCCGAUGUUUAGACAAAUGCUCGUCUUAAGAUGGACUAGAACAGUUCUAGUGCCUCACCUUCCUUCAGCUCCAGCUCCAGCCACAGCCUCUAAGAGGUCACUAAGAUACAAGGGCCCCCUGAGCUGCUUCUCAGCUUGAGGCUCCUUAGUUCCUGCAAGGAGAAGGGAAGACAGACCUUACCUGAGAGUGAGUUAUUUAUUUAUUUAUUUAUUUAUUUAUUUAUUUAUUUAUUUAUUUAUAGCAGCUUCUGGAAUGCCUGGCCACCUCUCACAUUCCAUUCAUUCCCUGUAGAGUCCCUGUGCUUCCCCUUUCCACCUUCUGCUGUCAGCGCCCCUGCUCCUCCUGGAGGCCAGGACAUUGGUGGUGCAGAACUGCUCUUUGAUAACCUUCCUUCUGUCAGAAGCUGUUGCUUCUUUCUUCCUUAAGCCCCUCCCCACAUUCUUAGUCCUCAUUGACUUAAAUUAGUUUUUCCUUUUCCUAAUGAACUCCAGCCCUCAAAUAGAACCAGGAGCAAAAUUGGGGACACUGGGAAAUUAGGAAUCCUUGGUGAAUUAUCUUAAAUUAAUGAGACCAAGAAGGGAAAUGAAGUUCAGCUGUACAAAUUGCCUUUGCGUUCUGGACCUUGAUGAUUUAAAUGGUAGAUUAUAAUUAAAUGCUUCCGAAUAGAAUGAGAAGUAGCUGCUAAAAAUCUUUUGAUCUAAAAGUUCCUCUGACCUAUGAACUAGUUUAAAAUUAGUAUGUAAAUACUCCUUUCUGAGAAUUUUGAUCUUCAGAGAGUGUGACACAAACCACCCUCCUAAAAGAUAGGUGGACAGGUGGACAGGUGGAGUGAGCAGGAGGACACAGGUAAGAGAGAGUGGGUUGUCAGCCUCCCUGGAGUAAGAUGUCAGGGCUUAGGUAGGGAUGUUUGUUAGGUGGCACAGCUCUGCUGUCCCAAGGGAAGGGCUCAUCAGAACCUUCACUGUUAAUGCAGAGAGAAAGGCAGAGAGGCAGGCAUGUAAUACUGUGGUUACACUGAAGCAACAAUCAAGAGACAACAGCUCACCCCAUGUUAUGAAGUCACAGCCAGUAUUUAAUACCUUUUAAACAUGUGAAGACAGCAGUAUGGAGCACAGAAAACAGUUUCCCAUAACCACUC
rnacentral:lncRNA from 1 species